AUGCCUCCUCAAACCACAUCCGGUUCGGCAGUUAGGGUUCCGGCGACCAAGGCGGUGGAGGAUGCGGCCGUUGGGGAGGGCGACCAUGCCGCAGUGACCACGCCGCCGCCGCCGCCUCCCACCUGUCCCAUCUGUUUCGAGCCCUGGACCUGCAGCGGCGGACACCGCAUCUGUUGCAUUCCUUGUGGACAUGUGUACGGCAGGUCAUGUCUAGAGAGGUGGCUCCAUCGUUGCGGCGAUGACAGUGCGAAGUGCCCACAGUGUGGCGAACAAUUUGAACGCGACCUUAUUACCAACCUCUACGCCCCAGGAAAUUUGUGGGAUGGCUGUUGUCGUUUACAGGUUCUCUCACUUUCUUCUGGUGUACUUGUAUAG
rnacentral:rRNA from 1 species